GUGGGAGCCGAGCUUGCUCGCGAUGAGGCCAGCACAUUCAACACCUGUGUUGGCAGUUGAAGCGCUAUCGCGAGCAAGCUCGGCUCCCAC
rnacentral:misc_RNA from 1 species